UUGACCUCAAAUCGGGUG
rnacentral:rRNA from 4 species